GACAGAUGCCUCAUGAUCGGGUCCAGUGUUCUGCUAAUGUGAAGCAUUAUAAAGAUUCUCAGGAAGUCCCUUACAGCUCCUUUUACAUAUUUGCCCUCAUAUUACUUCCUUUCUCAUUAACCUCAGUUUAUUGAUUCUCACGGCAUUAUGAUACAACUUUCUAAUACUAUCCAGCCACUGGCCUGUUGCUGCAAUGGCAGGCCUGCCCAGCAUUUGGAUCCCAGAUUUGCUCCGGCAAUCACUGGGAGAAACUUUCCAUAAGACCUGAAAGAGAGAGCUGAGCCUCAUUAUUUUUUUUUCUAGUGGGUACAGAGCCUGGAGGAGCUGCUAUGGGAGGGAAAGGACAGACAGAAAGUCCAACCUGGAGUGUGGUUUUCCAUGUGUCAGGUGCAGUGCUAGCUAUUUCCCAAGCCUUAAUUCACUUAACCCUUCCCCCUGUCAGCUUAACUAAUAAUCUCUGCACCUCCAGAACUCCACACCGGUCUGAAACAGAGUACAGGCUCAGCCAACAUGUACCGAAUGACCAAAUUGGAUGGAUUGAUGAUUCCAAAGCAGUGCAGUCUACUAUUGUAUCAAUGGUUUUCAGAAACUACACCACUACCAGCCUCUACCUGAUGCAAGACUAAUGGGACCACCUGAUCUUGAACCCUUAAUCUCAAAGCUGCAAACAAAGCAAACUUUUGUACUUCCCAAGAAGCUCCUCUUAGAUUCUUUUGUUAAAAUAAUGAAAGCUGACCAAUGCCAUCGCUAAAAAGAAGCAAGUGGAAUCAUGAAAUGCAAUGUUUAUUGAGUGGCUAUUAUUAUUCUUGACAUUGCUGAGAGCUACAUGUGUAUUACUGUACUUUAUUAUCACAGCAAUACUAUAUAAGCAUCUAUUUCAGAUGAGGGAUUGGGGAUCAGAGAUGUGGGGAGCAACUCGGACUAGACUAAGUUACUGGAAUUAAGACUUAUUCUAUGCAUCUGCUCUCCCACAAUAUGGCGCUGGGAGAGGAGGAAACAGCUUCUACACAGAUGCUUCCAGUUCAACCAAUAGACUGUGGGACCUGCUCCUGAUUGGAGGAGAGCAGCGUACUCGGCGUGUGGGCAGCCGAGUUGGGAUUGGCGGAAGAGGACUAUAAAGGAGGAGAGAGACAACAUGCACCAGGAACAUCUAAGGGGAACAUCUAUCUGAAGGAACACCUGUGCAGCCCCUGAGAGAGCCGGCUGGCGGUGUGCCGCUCUCCCGCAGAAGUGGGGAAAGUGGCCAGGGGGAACCGCCCUUCCAUGGAGGUGGAAGGGUCGGUAGCCAACCCGGGAAGAACCAGCAGCAAACCCGGGAAGAACCAGCAGCAAACCCGGGGAGGGCCGAGCAGACAAAAGAACAGCGCAGGGUCCUGUGUUGUUCCUCCACGAAGACGGGGAGCGACAAGAGAAGCUAAUAACAGUUAAGAAAAGACUAAUAACAGUUAAUAAAAGACAGGACAUCUCUCUCUCUCUUUUUUUU
rnacentral:lncRNA from 1 species